UCUAAGCCCAGAUGAGGUCCUGGUCUUCUCCAUCUCCAUCCACCGGCUUUCAGUGGUGUCAGGCUGAGCAGAUCCAGGCUGGAGGGCUUUGUGCUGCUGCCAGAAGGUACCUCACACAAAGCGUGGAGGAGAGGCGGCUGCAAGGAGGCCAGCAGUGCUGGGGAGGUUGGACCCACAUCCAUCCCUGUGGGUCCACCAUUGUGCCGGCAGCCAGCUAAAGGCACGCUUCACCUCCUUCCUAAGCUGGAGGACUUUAACAAGUUGAAGGUGAAUCAUCUGUUUUAUUAGAUGAGAGGCCACUUCAAGGAGUGCAGCCCAAUUAUGCCACGUGUUGUACAUAUCCUGAAAAGAGUAUUUGUGAAGAAAUGGGAUCCAUAUGGGCAGAUCUUUACUGGUGAGCACGUUCCGCUGAAGAACAGCCUCGGGUAUCUGCCUGCAGAGAUCAGGCUUUGCUGGAUUCAGGCUUUAACUCUUAAUUUAUAGCGUUGAACAGCUCUCAAGAAGAGGGAGGGAUGUGUAGGAGGUACCGUAUAAACUGGACGGUGCUGUGACAUGUAUUUCGCCCCCCCCCAAGGAGCGAGUCUUGCUGCCUUCGCCUUGGCGUGAGGCUCUGUGCUCCAGGAAUGAGCAGGAAUAUCACGGUCUAGCCCAAAUUCCUCCUUGGAGGAAAGAGACAGAUGAUAUCAUUGUUGGAGUUGUUUGGAGAUCAUAAAGGUACUUACUGAAAUGAGAAAAAUAUGGGUUUAAUUCCUCUUAUAAUAAUAAAAAAGCGAUGGAAAGCUGCGAGUGCCAGGAACCUCACUGAGAAAAGAGUCUUUGCACCCUGGAGAACUUCUCUUUGCCUAAUGAAUAAGCACUUCUAAGUCACUUUUUGGUUCGUUUUUUUGCGUGUGUAUGUAUAUAUGUAUAUAAAAUAUGCAAAGCCAGAUGAAGUUACUUGUUUGUCUUGCAGAUUGUCAACUCUGCUGAGCAGUGCUUUGAUUUAGAAGCAGCACUCCCAGAGUGAAAGACACGCGGUUUAUUCCUGCGAGAUGUUGUCCGCACCACACGCGGCUCCUGCUGAACCCUGUACCUUCCAAUCCAAGCACGGUACUACUACAUGAACAAAAUGCAUUUCUUUCUAUUUGAUUAUCAGAUAGUUUCCACUCCACUCUGAAAACAUUAAGUGGAAGUACCCAACUAAGCGAGGACUUUAAGACUUUCAACUUCACCGUACAAAACUACGGCUUCCAAAUCAAUGUCGUGCAUGAGGUACCCUGUUCAGUGUCUGCAGAGAUGGCAGAAAGCUUGAAGGAAUUACUGCUUGGCAGGACAACACAGCUAGAGCCUGGAUGCAGUUCCCCACCUGAGAGUGCUCCGUUGCUCCUGGGAAGCUCUUCAAGGGAGGAAAAGAACAUGCUGAAAAUGCUGAUGCAAUAAUUUUCUGCACAGUUUGCUUCUCCGAGACAGACUUCACCCUGUGCUCUGCCUGUGCUCCAAGCAGACUGGGAAUGAGGAACCUGCAGUUGAAGGCAAGACCGAUGCGCCCUCCGGCGGAUGAGGAGAUGGCUCCAGGAUUCCUGGUUGGCUAGGGACACAGGUGGACUUCACUGUCUUUUGUAUGCAAAAGACCAUUUAGAUAUAAUCAUGGAUAUUCACAUGACCCUCAUUUGUGGAAUAUUUUCUAUGCCGUCAAUCUCUUUAUCAUCAUAAAAAUCUAUUUAUUUUCAUAAAUCUAUUUAUUUUCAUAAAAUCUCCAGGAUAUAAGGACCCAGUUAUCGGGUAUCUCAAGUGACUAUGGCCUCCAUCUGGUCACAUGAAAAAUUUGCAGUGAGUCACGACACCAUACCAAGAUCUCCCAAAGCCCCGCCUGGUGCUGUAAGACAAUCCCUGUAGCCCAGGAGACUUACAGAUGUGACAGAGACAGCAGAAAUAAGACAAAUGAUGCUUAAAGAGAAGGGGUAGCAGGGGCGAGUUAGUUUGGGGUAAAUGAACAUACAGUCCCUGGUAUUCGUAAAAGCAAAGAAGAUGGCCCCUCCUAACAUCAGUAUAUGUUUGGAUUCACGCUUUGUCAGCAGUGGACAAGGAAGGAUCACCGGCAGAGGAAGAGUCUUAGAAACUCAUUCAACGUGGUUUUGGUUAUUUGAGCAUGUUCUUCCUAACAGUACAGUCUCCUCUUGCAGCGACAGCAGUUUAUGAAUGGUUCCACUUCACGUGUCCCUCUUCUCGCUGGCGCUCGCACCCGGAGACUGAGCAUCUCUGCAGAAACGAAGGUGGGAACAGGUUGGAGACAGGAAUGUGAGUGUAGGACAGGAGCGUAGGUGGGUAACAUCCAUUCAAAAUAUUAAAUAUCCAGAGCUGACUCGGAAACUUGCCUCCCAUGUUUAUCUAAUUGCAAAAAAAAUAAUAUAGUGAUUUCUUCAUUUCCAGCAAAUCGGUAUUUCCUGAAGUAUUGUGAUACUUUCCCUGAGCUGAGCAGAGCUCCACUAGGAUUUUAAUUUACAGACAAUUUGGUAAUAUCUUAUUACAUGUAAGAGUUGUGCUAGGUCAGGUAAAAAUGUGUCUUUCAUUCCUUGCUUGUCCCAGAGCUGCUGCACAGUAGAUGUUUCAACGUGCUAAAGGCAUAAAGAAUUAUGAGUGUGCAGUUUUAGAAUUUUUUUUUUUAGGCAUAUUUGAAUAUAUCGGAGCCUUUACAGAGUAACCACUUCUCCUGGGGUGGGAACGGAUUUGGGAACAGAGUUCUCAAAUAAUUGGUAGUUCAGUUAGAACAAUAUAAUAAUAAAAGAUAUAUUUGAAGUAAACAGUCAUAACCUGGUGUGAAACAUAAUUUUAUAAAAUUUUAAUCCUCUCAAGAUUAAAUUGAAGACAAAUUAAGACAAACUUGUGUGGUUAGAUAUCAUAAAAAUAAAGUCUUUAAUCUUAAAAACAGAGUUUCAUUCAUCCUGAAUGAACCAUGCAGAAAAAUAGAGCAAUUCAGAGAUCAUUUUCCCAGUUUACAGAAAGCUUCAAUUGAAAAACUUGGAUGAACACUGUAUAAAAUCAUGUGUCUGUACCACCCCAA